CUCUUCGGGGAUGAUUAAACCGGCGCACGGGUGAGUAACACGUGAGUGACCUGCCUUUUAGACUGGAACAACUUACCGAAAGGUGAGCUAAUGCCGGAUGAGUUAUAUAAGUGCAUGUUUAUAUAGGAAAAGUUGGGGAGACCUGACGCUGAGAGAUGGACUCGCGUCCCAUUAGCUAGUUGGUAGGGUAAUGGCCUACCAAGGCGACGAUGGGUAGCCGGCCUGAGAGGGUGGCCGGCCACACUGGGACUGAGACACGGCCCAGACUCCUACGGGAGGCAGCAGUGGGGAAUUUUGCGCAAUGCUCGUAAGAGUGACGCAGCGACGCCGCGUGAAUGACGAAGGCCUUCGGGUCGUAAAGUUCUUUCGACAGGGAAGAAAAUGCCUAUAAGUAACUGUGUAUGUAUUGACGGUACCUGUAUAAGCAGCCCCGGCUAACUCCGUGCCAGCAGCCGCGGUAAUACGGAGGGGGCGAGCGUUGUUCGGAGUGACUGGGCGUAAAGAGCACGUAGGCGGUGUUGUAAGUCAUUAGUCAAAGACUAGAGCUCAACUUUAGUAAGGCUAGUGAUACUAUAAUACUAGAGUAUCAGAGAGGAUUGCAGAAUUCCUGGUGUAGCGGUGAAAUGCGUAGAUAUCAGGAGGAAUACCGUUAGCGAAGGCGGCAAUCUGGCUGGAAACUGACGCUGAGGUGCGAAAGCGUGGGUAGCAAACAGGAUUAGAUACCCUGGUAGUCCACGCUGUAAACGAUGGAUGCUAGGUGUUGGGCUUUUAAGUUCAGUGCCGCAGCAAACGCGAU
rnacentral:rRNA from 1 species